rnacentral:lncRNA from 1 species
UUUAUGUUACUAUAGUCAUCAUUAAUGCAGUAUUAUUUUUUGCUUUCUAAUCUGAGCUCUAGGUUUUCUUUGUUGUCUUCUUUGCUCUAGUGAACUCGGCUCCAUUUAUUCAAUUUAAAAAUUCUAGAAUUAUAAAGAUUCCAACUUAUAAUCAGUGUAGAAUGCAGAACAUUCUGUCUAGUGGUAUGUGUACUCAAUUUUAAAAAUAUUUGCUGAAACAAAUUAGAUGAAAAGUUAUAAUGAUAUGGUAGAUUAUGAUUUUUAAAAGUAGUAGUGCACCUAAUAUAAAUGACCGGAGCACCUCACCACACUCACAUCGAGAGUUUCCCCAGGGAAAAUGUUAUAGUGAGUGACUUGGAACUAUACAUGGACAUAGCUAAAAAUACACUUCUAAGGAUAACAAUUCACUAGAGAGUUUUUGGAUAGAACAGCCAACUUCAAUAGGUGGAGGAUGAUGCUGCAAAAUCAAUUUCAUUCACUCUUCCAAUAGGACAACUGGGCAGACACUAUUGUCUGCACAUUUUCCUGAUUAGGACAAUAUUAAGGCUAUUUACAUGCACAUUAAUUCAUACCUAGUUGGCAAUUAAAAUAUUGGGUAAUUUUUCUUAUGGUGUUUUUGUUUUUUAUUGAAAUAUAAUUGACAGGUAACAUUAUAUUAGUUUCAGGUGUACAACAUAAUGAUUUUAUAAUUGUAUACAUUGAUAAUAUGAUCACCACAAUAAGUCUAGUCAACAUCUAUCACAAUACAUAAUUACAAAAAUUUUUUUCUUGUGCUGAGAACUUUUAGGAUCUACUCUCUUAGCAACUCUCAAUUAUAUGAUACAGUAUUAUGAAACUAUAGUCACCAUGCUGUGCAAUACAUUUCCAUGACUUAUUUAUUUUAUAGCUGAAAGUUUGUACAAAAGGUAUAAAUUUCCAGUCAUUAUCCCUUUUUUUCAGGAAGAUUAGCCCUGAGCUAACAUCUGCCACCUAUCCUCUUCUUUUUGCUAAGGAAGAUUAUGUGACUUUAUUGAGACACAUUAAAGAAGGCUAAAUAAGUGGAGAGACAUACCAAAUUCACUAUAUUCAUAGAUUGCAAGAAUCAAAUAUACAGAUACACAAUAUUGCCAAUUUAUCUUCCAGUGGCAUUUAAAUCAAGGUCUUGCC